UUUGUUAAGAAGAGACUAAGCUGUUUCUCACCUUACAGCAUUGCUAGUAAGGUUAUACAUUCAUUUUGAGUUUAAGAAUUAUUAGUAUGAAUUGUAUAGGACGGCUUUAAGCCGUCCUUUUUAUUUGUA
rfam:Clostridium botulinum D str. 1873 CLG.Contig181, whole genome shotgun sequence.